CAUGCGUAAGAGCAUCUCCUAUCACCGCCACCCGCAUCUCUUCUUAUUUUCCGUUCCUCUCGUCUCGCCAGAAGCCCCUUCCAAGGAUGCGUGCUUACAGUGGAAUGCGCCGUCUUGCGUGCCUGGCGAGCGCCACGGCCCUAUCGGGCCUUUCGGUAGCUGCCACUGCCGCUAACCCCGCGGCGUCGACGACUGUACCGGCCCGCUUCAUCUAUACUACGUGGGGGUCCGUGCCGUGCGAGGGGUGGGCGUGCAAUGAGAGCUGGCUGAAGCGCAUCACCUCGCAGUCCGAGUACCGCAGCUUCGAUUUCUGGCAUGUGCCGCAGGCGGAUGUUCCGGCGGGGCUGAAGCUGAACGCGGUCGAGCGCUACCUGCUGAGCAGCCUGGAGAACGACGCAGCGCGCCUGCUUCACGUUUCGUGGUGCGAGGACUUCGACUCGUACUGGCGCGACCGUGUGAACUCGCUGGAGAUGCUCUACAAGACCAUCUACACAGACGACCACCCGUUCUACCGCUACAUCUUCGGCAACUGCACGCACAAGACGGCAGAGAAGGAGCACAUGCUGCGCAAGCUGAAUUACCUCAAGAACAUUCUCUUCUGGGCUUGCCGCACAGAGCGAUGCUACACAAGCAUCGCGAAGGCGCGCUACUACGUGCAGCGCUGCGUGUGGAACGCGCUGGAGCGUGAGCGCUACCUGUGCGCGUGCGUGGAGGCCGUCGACUCCUUCGGGAAGAAGGUGCCGGAGGAGCUGCGUCAUAAGGCGAUGCCGGAGCUGGAGGUGGCUCUAGUGAGCAUGCGCCAUUGGGUGUGGGACUGCCCGAACGGCAAGCGUACCUUCACGCGUCGCCUCGCGUAAAGGUGAGCUAGCCGUUGGUGGUGCUGUAGCUGAAGCAAGAAGCAGAGUAGAAUGGGAUCUCGUGAUGGCUUGCAAGGGUAUCUGUGCGAAACCGCUUCACGCGCUUCACCUCUGCCCCCCCUUUCUGCACGCACUGCAAACACUCACGUGAGUGGAAGAAUGGUUGCGCAGAUGCACGCAGUCGAGGUGCGCCGUGCACGUUUGUACGUAUGCGUGUGUGUGGAUGUGGAGACGCACUCCUCUUUCACACUCUCUCUCUCAUACACCGCUUAUCUACUUAUGCCUAACUAAAGAUUUGCUCUGUUUCGUGUCGCGUGCACGUGCCCUCCGGAAGGCGUUCUCUCGUCGCGCCGGGCGUGCGUGCGCGCGCAGGUGCAGCGGUAGGCUCUCUUUUCCACCCCUUCCGUUUUCUUUCACGGACUAGGUGUGUGCAUGUACGCGUGUGCAUAUGAGGGGGGGGGGCGCUGCUGUGCGCCACUGAAGACGUCGCUUGCUCCGCUGUUUACGCUUGUUCUCUCCUUAUCUUUACUUCCGUUAGCACCCUUGCGUCUGACUGCUCAAGCCCCCUCUCUUUUUCCCCCCCCGUAGCAUAGGCAUGUAUGAUGGUAUGGUUGUGUGAGUGAUCUCGAUGGCCCGCCGUGCUCCGUGUUGCGCGUCGCCGUUUGUGUGUAUCCUUCCGUUUUGCCUACUUUGUGAUUCGCCUCUGCCGCGACAAAAGUGAGUAUAUCCGACCGCCACUAUGCUCUCGUGCCUGUACGGGUGCGUUUUCAUUUCGGUGCUAACACCGAUGCACGGGCUCAGACGUGCUGUUCCCUCCCCCCUUUCCCCUCCUUCGUCUCUCCCCCUGCCCAAUGCCGAGCCGCCUCUGGUGGGGGCUGAAUCAGGCACCCGUACGCCAUGGGGAGGACAGAGCGGCUCAUCGCUGCUGAUGCCGGCGGUGGGGCCCUGGACGGUGCUGCGGCCGAGCGACCUGCGACGGUGCACACGUCUGCGCCAUCCACAUGAUGGGUGAGGUGUCGACGUGACUGGAGCGUGUAUCCCACCCCCGGCCGUCGCACUGCGUACUGGGGUGUGGGGAGCCGGCGCCACCACACCCCCUCUGAGGAGAGAAUGCACCAGGGGUGGCGCCCGGCAUAGUGGGGGCGGGGGGAGGAGGGGCUGCGGUGAGGCGACCUGCGAGGCCGCGUGUGGGCGGGCAGAGUUUGGGGCAGGGGGCGGUCGUCUCAGGUGACUGAGUCGGCGCAUUUGGUGUACCGGGCGUGUCUCUCGCGCUGCUUCGCACGACGCGGAUGGGGGGCCUGCGGCAGGGCCUGAUGGGUUUAGAGCAGCGCUUGAGUCCCGUUGUAUGGCGGAGAACGUACACACGUUGGCCAAAGGAAAAAAAAAGAGAAAAACUCACCUGCUCGUGGUGUGCCAACCCCCCCUUCUGGGCGCGGGCUGGGCUUCGCUGAGCGCUUGACAUCUGCCCUGGCCACCUACACGAGCACACAUGUAGCUCAUCAGCAUUUUCCGCCGGGUGUGCGAUAGACCAGAGACCUUCGCCCUCU
rnacentral:misc_RNA from 1 species